GCUCCGGAUCAGGUCAAGAAAAGCCAAGCCAAGUACGGAUUCAACGAGCUGCCCGCUGAAGAAGGUAAGAGCAUCUGGGAGCUGGUGGUUGAGCAGUUUGAAGAUCUCUUGGUCAGGAUCCUGCUGUUGGCUGC